CCUCAGCAUCCAGCAGUGAUUUGGUGAUCUAGGGCACAGUGCAGACUGCCCGGCCUUCUGGAUCUUGCCCAGCUCUCACAAUCUUGCAGACCCCAUGGCACCCGGACCACUUAGUGCACAAGAACACAGACUCCCCACCCCAGGGCGUGCAACCUCCAAGCCUCUCUUCCUGCUCUGCCAGAUCACNGGCAGGUCUUCCUUCCCUGGGCAGAGGCUUCAGGCUUGCUGGGCAGCAGGAUAAGAAAACUUGUGUGGAGAGAGAUCUUAUUUCUCAUGUCUUCCUUCNCCUGGUGUAGUUUGGCUUCUUUCAAAUACAACUUUCCUACCACUUUGUGGUCAGGAGUGGGUAAAGUGAAAGAAGAGGAGACCCUCCACAGAUGUGCUGGUGAAGAAUUCUUGGAGAUCCAGGGCUUCUGUGUCUCAUCGUAGGGCUUCUGGGAGAAUCACCUGGCUUUAUCUUGAAUACUGAUUAUCCUCUUAACAAUUACUGAUGUACAAUUGCUACCUCUUAAGAAAAGGAUUCAGUGUUAAAUUACCAUUUCUGUGUUUCCAUAUUUAAAUUGUCUUAAAUUUAAUUUUAUUUUUAAUUCAUUUUUUAUACUCCAUAUUCCAUUCCCUGUGCCCCCCUCCAUCCACCCUACAACUCCACAUCCUACCCCUCCUCCCCACCCCACCUGACCUCUAAACUCCCUGGGGCUUCCUGUCUCUUGAGGGUUAGGUGCAUCAUCUCUGAAUGAACAUUCAUAUUAAUUUCUAAUUUGUUUGAAUUAUCCUGACAUUAAA